CCAGACUCCUACGGGAGGCAGCAGUGGGGGAUAUUGCACAAUGGGGGGAACCCUGAUGCAGCGACGCCGCGUGUGUGAAGGAGCGUUUCGGCGCGUAAAGCCCUAUCGGCCGGGAAGAAGGAGGACGGUACCUGACUAAGAAGCCCCGGCUAACUACGUGCCAGCAGCCGCGGUAAUACGUAGGGGGCAAGCGUUAUCCGGAUUUACUGGGUGUAAAGGGGGCGCGGGCGGGAGAGCAAGGCCGGGGUGAAAAGCCGGGGGCCAACCCCGGGACUGCUCUUGAAACUGCGGGGCUGGAGUGAAGGAGGGGCAGGCGGAAUUCCUGGUGUAGCGGUGAAAUGCGUAGAUAUCAGGAGGAACACCGGCGGCGAAGGCGGCCUGCUGGGCCGCGACUGACGUUGAGGCUCGAAAGCGUGGGGAGCGAACAGGAUUAGAUACCCGGGUAC
rnacentral:rRNA from 1 species